CUCUGCAACCGAGAGCCAUCACGACACAGAACAUGAGCUCGCACUGGAACUCCGGUCUUAAAAGGCAUAUGAAACCGAAGCAAAUGUUCCUUCAAUAACUUACGGGGCUAAGUUGCAUCAAGCCCUCAUUGGUUGAAAUUAUAUAUUGUAGCCUACCAGCAUCAAGGAUGCGUGUGUUUACCCUCAACGGAUCAAGACAGACAACCACGAAAGCACUGGCACAUCUCCCGAAUGAGCGAUGUCCACAAAUCGACCAGCUCAAAGGAUAGUGAUGUAUUGUCCUCUUGGAAAUGCAAACAUUUCUGAGAUUAGGGAGCCAUGGGGUCUUGCACAUUACAUUAAGCGACAUCUUGUGGAAAACGAUAUGUAUUGACCCCCAAUGACAGGUGGACCCAAUUUACUAAUACAUUUUACGAACGGGCAAAUAACGAACCAAUAAAAUAUUUUUUAAUGCAUAUAUUAUAUAGAUGCAUUUAAAACAAAUGCUGUGUAUGAAAUAAAUAACAGUUCAAUGCAACAUACAAUUUAGUGCAACAGAAUCAGAAUGUCAUACAUAUAGCAUGUACCCUGUAAUCAUAAAUAUUCAAACAGUUGUAAUAAAUAACAUUAAAAUAAAUAUAAAGUUAAAUAACCGAAAACCAAAUAAAUACAAUUUUUAAUGCGAAAAAUCACAAUUAUGCAUAAUACCGAAUUGCUGACUCCAGACUAAAUGUUAGGAUGUAAAUUAAAUUAAUUAAAUGUAGUCUUGGCCAAGACGUUUUGCCUUAGUAUAGUAUAGAAAAAGUUCAUUGAUAAAACAGUAUAAGUAAUAUUUUAAACUGGACUACUCAGAUACAACAUCUCAAACAGUUCCCAUUGGAAGAAAUUCAUACAUAAAUUGUGAUACGAUAUGGCUCAUGUAGGCUUUUAU